rnacentral:rRNA from 1 species
GAUGAACGCUGGCGGCGUGCCUAAUACAUGCAAGUCGAGCGAACAGACGAGGAGCUUGCUCCUCUGACGUUAGCGGCGGACGGGUGAGUAACACGUGGAUAACCUACCUAUAAGACUGGGAUAACUUCGGGAAACCGGAGCUAAUACCGGAUAAUAUAUUUAACCGCAUGGUUCAAUAGUGAAAGACGGUUUUGCUGUCACUUAUAGAUGGAUCCGCGCCGCAUUAGCUAGUUGGUAAGGUAACGGCUUACCAAGGCAACGAUGCGUAGCCGACCUGAGAGGGUGAUCGGCCACACUGGAACUGAGACACGGUCCAGACUCCUAGGGGAGGCAGCAGUAGGGAAUCUUCCGCAAUGGGCGAAAGCUUGACGGAGCAACGCCGCGUGAGUGAUGAAGGUCUUCGGAUCGUAAAACUCUGUUAUUAGGGAAGAACAAAUGUGUAAGUAACUAUGCACGUCUUGACGGUACCUAAUCAGAAAGCCACGGCUAACUACGUG